rnacentral:misc_RNA from 1 species
GAUGAAGAACGCAGCGAAAUGCGAUAAGUAAUGUGAAUUGCAGAAUUCAGUGAAUCAUCGAGUCUUUGAACGCACAUUGCGCCCCCUGGUAUUCCGGGGGGCAUGCCUGUCCGAGCGUCAUUGCUGCCCUCAAGCACGGCUUGUGUGUUGGGCCCCGUCCUCCGAUCCCGGGGGACGGGCCCGAAAGGCAGCGGCGGCACCGCGUCCGGUCCUCGAGCGUAUGGGGCUUGUCACCCGCUCUGUAGGCCCGGCCGGCGCUUGCCGAUCAACCCAAAUUUUUAUCCAGGUUGACCUCGGAUCAGGUAGGGAUACCCGCUGAACUUAAGCAUAUCAAUAAGCGGAGGA